ACUAUGAGAGAAUGAAAACAAAGCAGUAAUUUAACAGACAAGAUUAGCAUGGUCCCUGCACACAGUGAUAGACAUGCAAAUUCGUGAAGCGUUCCAUAUUUUU
rnacentral:snRNA from 1 species